rnacentral:lncRNA from 1 species
UCUAAUAUCUACUCGACAUAAUGACAAGCCACAUUAAAAUGGCGAACAUGGGCGGAAGCGAUACGGAUAAUUCAGUGAGUUCUGACGAAUUUAGCAAGAAAAAUACUGAAGUUUAGUCGACUUUCGAUGACAGUGACUGUGAUCCUCGCUAUGUGGUACCUAGAAGUGACUCAAGUGAUGAAAAUUCAGAGGAUAAUGAACAAAGUCCGUCAAUAAAAACCAAACACACUCGUCAAAAAUUCCAACAAGUUGAUGGAGACAAAGAAAUAAACACUGUUUAACACCUACAGGGUUGAAACCACCCCGAACUCAGUCAAUAAUAGAAAAUUCUGAAUCUACAGAUAUCUAAAAUUUGGGUAAUUAUUAUUAAUGGAAUAAUGUAACAAGCUACAUUUUUUUAAAUAAAUGCAUUUUUCUUUCAA